rnacentral:rRNA from 1 species
CUCCGGUUGAUCCCGCCGGACCCGACUGCUAUCAGAGUGAGAUUAAGCCAUGCGAGUUAACGUAGCAAUACGUGGCGCACGGCUCAGUAACACGUAGUCAACAUGCCCAGAGGACGUGGAUAACCUCGGGAAACUGAGUCUAAACCGCGAUAAGUGAGGAUUUCUGGAAUGGUUCCUGACUAAAAUCUAUAUGGCCUCUGGAUUGGACUGCGGCCGAUCAGGCUGUUGGUGAGGUAAUGGCCCACCAAACCUGUAACCGGUACGGGCUCUGAGAGGAGGAGCCCGGAGAUGGGCACUGAGACAAGGGCCCAGGCCCUAUGGGGCGCAGCAGGCGCGAAACCUCUGCAAUAGGCGAAAGCUUGACAGGGUUACUCUGAGUGAUUUCCGUUAAGGAGAUCUUUUGGCACCUCUAAAAAUGGUGCAGAAUAAGGGGUGGGCAAGUCUGGUGUCAGCCGCCGCGGUAAUACCAGCACCCCGAGUGGUCGGGACGUUUAUUGGGCCUAAAGCAUCCGUAGCCGGUUCUACAAGUCUUCCGUUAAAUCCACCUGCUUAACAGAUGGGCUGCGGAAGAUACUAUAGAGCUAGGAGGCGGGAGAGGCAAGCGGUACUCGAUGGGUAGGGGUAAAAUCCGUUGAUCCAUUGAAGACCACCAGUGGCGAAGGCGGCUUGCCAGAACGCGCUCGACGGUGAGGGAUGAAAGCUGGGGGAGCAAACCGGAUUAGAUACCCGGGUAGUCCCAGCUGUAAACGAUGCAGACUCGGUGAUGAGUUGGCUUAUUGCUAACUCAGUGCCGCAGGGAAGCCGUUAAGUUUGCCGCCUGGGGAGUACGGUCGCAAGACUGAAACUUUAAGGAAUUGGCGGGGGAGCA